CAGGGCCUAUUAGGUGGGAAUAAAAAGCAGGCAGUUCCUGGCUGUGAUACUCCAGUUAAGGGUGUCUGACUGGCAGCAUGUUGGCACCAGCAUUGAAGGAAUUGAUGGGCUUCGGCUCCUGGUUCCUGUCCUGAGACCACAGCAGGAUGUGCCUUGGACAAAGGCUUGGACUCCUGGAUCGUCUGGUGACUUCAAAUAUCUGGUCUCAGGGUGGUGAACUUUUUCUUUGAAUUCCUGAUCUGUGAGCUUAUGCUCCCGAUGCAAGCAAUUUGAAAAAUAUUAGGAAUGGGAAAGCAACUGAGAAAUGGAGGAAAAGUGAGUUUUUGACAGGUUUUUGAAGCCCCACUCAAAGAAUAAUUUUGUAAGUUUCUUUUAAACAAAGGCUAUGCACAUAAGAAUUAAUAUUCAAGGGAUAGGCCAAGAAUUGUUAUUAAUGUACAGUUCUCUCUUACAUGUUUAUUGCUGCAGUAUCA